AGCGAACGCUGGCGGCAGGCUUAACACAUGCAAGUCGAACGCCGUAGCAAUACGGAGUGGCAGACGGGUGAGUAACACGUGGGAACAUACCCUUCGGUUCGGAAUAACUCAGGGAAACUUGAGCUAAUACCGGAUACGUCCGCGAGGAGAAAGAUUCAUCGCCGGAGGAUUGGCCCGCGUCUGAUUAGCUUGUUGGUGAGGUAACGGCUCACCAAGGCGACGAUCAGUAGCUGGUCUGAGAGGAUGAUCAGCCACAUUGGGACUGAGACACGGCCCAAACUCCUACGGGAGGCAGCAGUGGGGAAUAUUGGACAAUGGGCGCAAGCCUGAUCCAGCCAUGCCGCGUGAGUGAUGAAGGCCCUAGGGUUGUAAAGCUCUUUUACCCGGGAAGAUAAUGACUGUACCGGGAGAAUAAGCCCCGGCUAACUUCGUGCC
rnacentral:rRNA from 1 species